rnacentral:lncRNA from 1 species
GAUUCAUUUCGCAACACCUACGGCUUCCACUAGAUGUCAACGAUCUUUAUAAAGUUGUUUGAAGCGUCUAUGAUAAACAGAGAGCAAAUUAGAAUCCAAGGAAGUUGACAUGUCAUCACUUCAUUUUUUUGCGCCUGCGCAUAAAUCUGAGAAACGUGAGUUUGUCAUCAUUGUUUAUCUAGACAUAGGAUAGGUUGUGUGAAAAUAUUACUGAUGUUUAACGUUAAAAAUGGACCAAAAGAUUAAUGCUAAACAACAUUUGACAUGUUUGAACGAACAUAAAUAGAUUAUUUACUAGGUUUUUUUAGCUUUUCGGCGUGAUUUUACCAGCCCCACACCACGUUUUGUGGGAGCAUAAUGAACGCUAAGUACUUGGUGUUAUUUGGACAUAAAUUCUGAACUUUGUCAAAAGAAACCACAUUUGUUCCGGACCUGGAAUGCCUUCCGGACCUGGGAUCCUGCCUUCUGAUGGAGAUAAUCAAAGACCAUUUCCGGAGACCUUCUCCCCUACCUCACCUCGCUCAUCAACUCAUCCUUGACCGCUGGCUACGUCCCUUCCGUCUUCAAGAGAGCGAGAGUUGCACCCCUUCUGAAAAAACCUACACUCGAUCCCGCCGAUGUCAACAACUACAGACCGAUAUGGAGAUUUGUGAAAUCCCGUCUGCUGAUGAAGAGGUCCCAGUGAAUUUCCCAAGAGACUGCUGGCACAUCCUUCUAUGCCAUGGGUUGAAUGUAUACUUAUGUUAGCAAAUGUUGUAUACAACAAUACAGUUAAAAGUCACACACAAUGUAAGCUAUAAACUUAUUACAACUUUUUCUAUAAUCUAUUUAUGGUCAAAUACUUCAGUUGUAACUGUGGAACUCACUUUUUACAGUUGAAGACAACUUAAGCACUCUUAAAAACUCAUUUGAAUGAGUUUGUUUAUUUCUUACAGUAGCCUAUAGAUCUAAACAUCUCUGGAGGUGCUGCAUGGGCUCAUUUGUUGUCUUACUAUUAAUUACACAGGCUGUAUGACCUAUUUCUUGGUCAACUCAUAUCAAUAUCAGCUUAUUAGUGGUGGGGUAGGCUAAAUAAAAACAGAAUAUGCCUAAUUAAAAGAACAGUAAUGAAGGAAAUUAAAAAAUGCUGGGCAGAGCAUGCAAAGAGCUCAUGUCUGAGCGGUACCGGAGCAAAAUUGGAGCUAGAGAGAAGGCCAACUCUCCAACAUAUUUGCCAUUGACACUUUGUAAUUAUGUGUUGCUCUAUAAAAGAGACCAGGACGGAAUCUAUAAUCUUUGACUUUAUUGAACUACCUGAACAUAAAACCUUUACUACAAAAUGUGCCUGCUUCCGUACCAUGUCUGUUUCACCUUCAUCUGUCACAAAAUGAGCCCAGACCAUGAGUGAAGGGAGGGAGGAAUCCAUGAAUUGAUGGGCUGUGCUAUUUCCUCCUUGGAAGUACCCAUUUCAAAGUGGCAGAGGCUUUCCCCACUACCGUACAGUCCCUGUUUGUGGGCUAAAUGAGUGCUGGUCCACGCCAGCUUUUAAAGCCCAUUAUCCAAAGGGAGAGAAGAGGGAAUACUGCUUCCAACUGCUGUCUCCCAGCCCAGGCUUCUCUCCGGCAAAGCAUGAAGAAUACCUUCCCUGUGGCACAAAAACCCUUCCCUUCUUUAUGAGUCAUUGACAUGCAGAGUUACAUCCACCAUAGAAACCCUUAUUCCCUGCAACAUUAUUAAUUCAGAAAGUCAGUUCCCGACUUUAUUAUUCCUCCAUAAAUCAGGAUUCCAAAACAAUAUGCCAACUAUCGGAGGUGAAAUAUGAUUGAGAUGUAGCGCUGACAGGGUCAUAAGAGUUAUCCAAAUUUGCAUUAAUUAGCACUGUUCGUACCAAAUACUGUGAUUUACUCAAACGAUUGAGUCCACAUGCCUAUCUUUGUAC